rnacentral:rRNA from 1 species
UACGUAGGUGGCGAGCGUUGUCCGGAUUUACUGGGUGUAAAGGGAGCGUAGGCGGGUAUGCAAGUUGAAUGUGAAAUCUAUCGGCUCAACUGAUAGGCUGCGUUCAAAACUGUAUAUCUUGAGUGAAGUAGAGGUAGGCGGAAUUCCUAGUGUAGCGGUGAAAUGCGUAGAUAUUAGGAGGAACACCAGUGGCGAAGGCGGCCUACUGGGCUUUUACUGACGCUGAGGCUCGAAAGCGUGGGGAGCAAACAGGAUUAGAUACC